CCAACUUAGGGGUGAAGUCAUCUUGUUAUUUCUUCACCCUUUUCCCGAUUUCUGAGUCUUUGCAUUCUUAGGUUUUUAGAAUGUCUGAUUCCAGCAAUUAGAAAAAAGGUUGGUGAUGAGUGGGAAUUCCGCAAAAUAUGCGAUCAAUAUAUUGACUUCUCUACUGGAGUUUCUUGCAUCACGCGGUUGAAAUCGGACAUUUGGAGAUGUGCAAAUUCUUGAUCAAGAAAGUCCAAGUUUUUGUUGAUGCCUUGACUUACAAGAGUUUCUCUCUCACGCGCGCGUUUCUUCUUGAUGAAUUGUUUGUUCUGCUGUUUGUUUAUGCAUGUUUAAGUAAUCUUUCCUUGUAUACUAACACCAUAAACUGCAUCAGUGGAUACUCCUAUAGCACAAGCUUCCAAAGGGGAACAUGUCAAAAUUGUGGAGUUUCUCAUCGAACAUGUUUCUUGGUGGUGGCAGAUGGGAUUGCGGCUGCCUACUCUUUUUUCCAACUUGGUGUGAGUAUGAUUAGAGGGAGUGCGCUCUUCAAAAGGCCCUUUUCUCUGGGGAUCAUCUGCAACCUACAUGCUCCUGAGUGAUAAUGUUGAGACGAUCGUGCAUCACAUCACUGGUAGGGUACGCCGGGAGAC